rnacentral:rRNA from 1 species
AACGAACGCUGGCGGCAUGCCUAACACAUGCAAGUCGAACGGGAUCCGGACUUCGGUCCGGUGAGAGUGGCGGACGGGUGAGUAACACGUGGGAACCUGCCUUUUGGUUCGGGAUAACCGCGGGAAACUGCGGCUAAUACCGGAUGCUCCCGAGAGGGAAAAGAUUUAUCGCCAGAAGAGGGGCCCGCGUCCGAUUAGGUAGUUGGUGGGGUAAUGGCCUACCAAGCCGACGAUCGGUAGCUGGUCUGAGAGGAUGAUCAGCCACACUGGGACUGAGAUACGGCCCAGACUCCUACGGGAGGCAGCAGUGGGGAAUAUUGGACAAUGGGGGCGAACCCUGAUCCAGCAAUGCCGCGUGAGUGAUGAAGGCCUUAGGGUUGUAAAGCUCUUUGUCCAGGGAAGGAUGAUGACUGUACCUGGAGAAUAAGCCCCGGCCUAACUUCGUGCCAGCAGCC